CAGGGAGAAGACUACUAUAAGUGGAACAAUGAAAAUGGAAUGUAGUGUGGAAUGCCAGAGAGCACGGAAUGGCUGGACCACAGCCUCGCAGCACAGGCGAGGAGGGGGAGUCAGUGAGGAUGGGAAGGUUUUGAGUCUGGGUAUCAGAAGAUGGAGUAUAUUUAGUGGAAAACUGAUAAUCGGUUUUGAAUCACAUGAGUAUCAGAUGACGACUGGACGGCCAGAGUAAAGGACAAAAUACAAAAGUAGAAAUGGGGCAUGUGGUGGGACAGGGAAUGGGGUUGAAAAAAAAAUUUGAGAAAAGGCAAGAAAAUGGAAAAUCAUACAAUUUUUAUGAUAAAGAUAAUAGUUUAUAAUGUGUCUGCAGAGCCCAAAGAAAGAAAAAUGCCUUAUAAUAAGUGGGAAGAUACACUCCAAGAAGCAGGCCACUUAAAACACAAUAUGUAUUGUGAAAGUUGGAGCAACACAUCUUAGAGGAUGCUGUGUUGUCAUGAAGCCUCCUUUCCUAUUAACCAAGAACAUGCCUUCCUCUGCAUCCUCAUCAAAAUUCUUGGUCACAAAAGCUGGGUAAAUGAUUGAUGAGAAAGAAACUGGUGGUUGAUGGAAAUCAAAGGAAGAAGGCAGGGGCUUCUUCAGCAAUAAAUCAAGAGUGAAAGAACACGAAAUAAACCAUGUAAUUACACUUUUAAGUGACACCAGCACAGGAAUGCAAGAGAGCAAGGCAUGAGGUAAUGCUUCAUUUGGGUGAAAUCAGCUAGGCUUUCCAAUUUAAUAGG
rnacentral:lncRNA from 1 species